rnacentral:tRNA from 1 species
GCCCGGGUGGCGGAACUGGUAGACGCAAGGGACUUAAAAUCCCUCGGGAUCUGAUCCCGUGCCGGUUCGAUUCCGGCCCCGGGCA